UUUAUAUGGGAAUAAAGUGAGGAACGUGUUCCUUUUUGUAUGUACCAUAUGAAUAAGCAUCGGCUAACUCCGUGCCAGCAGCCGCGGUAAUACGGAGGAUGCGAGCGUUAUCCGGAUUUAUUGGGUUUAAAGGGUGCGUAGGUGGUUAAUUAAGUCAGCGGUGAAAGUUUGUGGCUCAACCAUAAAAUUGCCGUUGAAACUGGUUGACUUGAGUAUAUUUGAGGUAGGCGGAAUGCGUGGUGUAGCGGUGAAAUGCAUAGAUAUCACGCAGAACUCCGAUUGCGAAGGCAGCUUACUAAACUAUAACUGACACUGAAGCACGAAAGCGUGGGGAUCAAACAGGAUUAGAUACCCUGGUAGUCCACGCAGUAAACGAUGAUUACUAGCUGUUUGCGAUACACAGUAAGCGGCACAGCGAAAGCGUUAAGUAAUCCACCUGGGGAGUACGCCGGCAACGGUGAAACUCAAAGGAAUUGACGGGGGCCCGCACAAGCGGAGGAACAUGUGGUUUAAUUCGAUGAUACGCGAGGAACCUUACCCGGGUUUGAACGCAUUCGGACCGGAGUGGAAACACUUCUUCUAGUAAUAGCCGUUUGCGAGGUGCUGCAUGGUUGUCGUCAGCUCGUGCCGUGAGGUGUCGGCUUAAGUGCCAUAACGAGCGCAACCCUUAUCACUAGUUACUAACAGGUCAUGCUGAGAACUCUAGUGAGACUGCCAGCGUAAGCUGUGAGGAAGGUGGGGAUGACGUCAAAUCAGCACGGCCCUUACAUCCGGGGCGACACACGUGUUACAAUGGUGGGGACAAAGGGCAGCUACCUGGCGACAGGAUGCUAAUCUCCAAACCCCAUCUCAGUUCGGAUCGAAGUCUGCAACCCGACUUCGUGAAGCUGGAUUCGCUAGUAAUCGCGCAUCAGCCAUGGCGCGGUGAAUACGUUCCCGGGCCUUGUACACACCGCCCGUCAAG
rnacentral:rRNA from 1 species